CUGUACUGGCUCAAGAGGACACAUGCUGCCCCAUCUGCAGCCUUGGCCCAGAGUGGUCCCCAGGCGCAGAGCGGAGCCGAGGAGGGGGCGGAGAACCAGAGACAGGGACACGACAGGAAAGGGAGCGGAGGGGUGACUAAAGGGCAGGAAGGCGCAGGCCACGAUUCCGCGGCACAAGCUCUCCCCCCCCAUCUAGCAGUGGGAAGAGCAAAGGUUGUGGACCCCUGUGACUUACUGCUGCGUGAUCCUGGGAGAGUGGCUUCACCUCUCUGAGCAUGUUUCCUCACCUACCCAACGGGGAUGCAAACCUACUUUGUGGGGCUGGCUGGUGGCGGCAGUGAAGGCCCCGCUGCUGCGAACGAGUAACAGCAGCCACAGCAGCAGCCACGAACACCACUUCGUGAGCAAGGACUUCAUUCCAAGGUCCUGUGUGCCAACUACUACCCCGCAUGACAGGCGAGACGUGGAGACACAGAGAGGGGAGAGAACAGCACAAGCCUUGGUGACAGGGAUGCAGCGGGACCACCCCCAGGACCCUUGAGGUCUCUCCUUCAUCCCUGCCAGGCUGGGGACACCCCUUUCCUGACCCAGUCCAGCCAGGAAAUCAAGUGUGAGGCACCCCUCUCUGUCGUGUGUUCCUUUCCCAUCUGACUCUUACCCUCCACCCCCACCAGGAAGACUUCUCGAAUGCGCCAGCCCAUAGUCUUGGCGUGCUCCUCUGACCCAGGCAUCACUGGUUCUCAAUUUGUCUAUUUAGUCAGCACCGGGCCUGCACCAACUUCACAGGGUCAUGUAUCUCUAUCAAACUGACUAGCAUUUGUUUGUUUGUAAGACACCCUUCUCAACACCAAGUCUAAUACAGGACAUACAGAGGUUGCCUGACCCAUAACUUACUUCUUAGCUUGGAGAACUCUUACUCACCCUUCAGAACCCAGACCAAAUGUCAUCUC